rnacentral:rRNA from 1 species
AACGAACGCUGGCGGCAUGCCUAACACAUGCAAGUCGAACGAGACCUCCGGGUCUAGUGGCGCACGGGUGCGUAACGCGUGGGAACCUGCCCUUAGGUUCGGAAUAACUCCCCGAAAGGGGUGCUAAUACCGGAUAAUGUCUUCGGACCAAAGAUUUAUCGCCUUUGGAUGGGCCCGAGUUGGAUUAGCUAGUUGGUAGGGUAAAAGCCUACCAAGGCGACGAUCCAUAGCUGGUCUGAGAGGAUGAUCAGCCACACUGGGACUGAGACACGGCCCAGACUCCUACGGGAGGCAGCAGUGGGGAAUAUUGGACAAUGGGCGGAAGCCUGAUCCAGCAAUGCCGCGUGAGUGAUGAAGGCCUUAGGGUUGUAAAGCUCUUUUACCCGGGAUGAUAAUGACAGUACCGGGAGAAUAAGCUCCGGCUAACUCCGUG